rnacentral:rRNA from 1 species
UGGGGGAAUUUUGGACAAUGGGCGAAAGCCUGAUCCAGCAAUGCCGCGUGUGUGAAGAAGGCCUUCGGGUUGUAAAGCACUUUUGUCCGGAAAGAAAUCCUUGGCUCUAAUACAGUCGGGGGAUGACGGUACCGGAAGAAUAAGCACCGGCUAACUACGUGCCAGCAGCCGCGGUAAUACGUAGGGUGCAAGCGUUAAUCGGAAUUACUGGGCGUAAAGCGUGCGCAGGCGGUUUGCUAAGACCGAUGUGAAAUCCCCGGGCUCAACCUGGGAACUGCAUUGGUGACUGGCAGGCUAGAGUAUGGCAGAGGGGGGUAGAAUUCCACGUGUAGCAGUGAAAUGCGUAGAGAUGUGGAGGAAUACCGAUGGCGAAAGGCAGCCCCCUGGGCCAAAUACUGACGCUCAUGCACGAAAGCGUGGGGAGCAAACAGGAUUAGAUACCCUGGUAGUCCACGCCCUAAAACGAUGUCAACUAGUUGUUGGGGAUUCAUUUCCUUAGUAACGUAGCUAACGCGUGAAGUUGACCGCCUGGGGAGUACGGUCGCAAGAUUAAAACUCAAAUGGAAUUG